GAGGGUGUCGCCCAGGGGUAGAGCCCAUGCUUAGCAUGCAUGAGGUCCUGGGUUUAAUCCCCAGCACCUCCA
rnacentral:tRNA from 1 species